AGGGAAAGAGGGAGGAAGGUAGAACACAUGCAAGUCGAAUGGUAACAGGAAACAGCUUGCUGUUUCGCUGACGAGUGGCGGACGGGUGAGUAAUGUCUGGGAAACUGCCUGAUGGAGGGGGAUAACUACUGGAAACGGUAGCUAAUACCGCAUAACGUCGCAAGACCAAAGAGGGGGACCUUCGGGCCUCUUGCCAUCAGAUGUGCCCAGAUGGGAUUAGCUAGUAGGUGGGGUAACGGCUCACCUAGGCGACGAUCCCUAGCUGGUCUGAGAGGAUGACCAGCCACACUGGAACUGAGACACGGUCCAGACUCCUACGGGAGGCAGCAGUGGGGAAUAGGGCACAAUGGGCGCAAGCCUGAUGCAGCCAUGCCGCGUGUAUGAAGAAGGCCUUCGGGUUGUAAAGUACUUUCAGCGGGGAGGAAGGGAGUAAAGUUAAUACCUUUGCUCAUUGACGGUACCCGCAGAAGAAGCACAGGCGAACUACG
rnacentral:rRNA from 1 species